rnacentral:rRNA from 1 species
GAUGAACGCUGGCGGCGUGCCUAAUACAUGCAAGUCGAGCGAACGGACGAGAAGCUUGCUUCUCUGAUGUUAGCGGCGGACGGGUGAGUAACACGUGGAUAACCUACCUAUAAGACUGGGAUAACUUCGGGAAACCGGAGCUAAUACCGGAUAAUAUUUUGAACCGCAUGGUUCAAAAGUGAAAGACGGUCUUGCUGUCACUUAUAGAUGGAUCCGCGCUGCAUUAGCUAGUUGGUAAGGUAACGGCUUACCAAGGCAACGAUGCAUAGCCGACCUGAGAGGGUGAUCGGCCCCACUGGACCUGAGACACGGUCCAGACUCCUACGGGAGGCAGCAGUAGGGAAUCUUCCGCAAUGGGCGAAAGCCUGACGGAGCAACGCCGCGUGAGUGAUGAAGGUCUUCGGAUCGUAAAACUCUGUUAUUAGGGAAGAACAUAUGUGUAAGUAACUGUGCACAUCUUGACGGUACCUAAUCAGAAAGCCACGGCUAACUACGUG